AGACGGAGGGUGCAAGCGUUAAUCGGAAUUACUGGGCGUAAAGCGCUCGUAGGCGGCUUGUUAAGUCGGAUGUGAAAGCCCCGGGCUCAACCUGGGAACUGCAUUCGAUACUGGCAAGCUAGAGUAUAGUAGAGGCAAGUGGAAUUCCGGGUGUAGCGGUGAAAUGCGUAGAUAUCCGGAGGAACAUCAGUGGCGAAGGCGACUUGCUGGACUAAUACUGACGCUGAGGAGCGAAAGCGUGGGGAGCAAACGGGAUUAGAAACCCCGGUAGUCC
rnacentral:rRNA from 1 species